AUUGAACGCUGGCGGCAUGCCUUACACAUGCAAGUCGAACGGCAGCACGGGUGCUUGCACCUGGUGGCGAGUGGCGAACGGGUGAGUAAUAUAUCGGAACGUACCUUAUUGUGGGGGAUAACGCAGCGAAAGCUGUGCUAAUACCGCAUAAUCCCUAAGGGGGAAAGCGGGGGACCGUAAGGCCUCGCGCAAUUAGAGCGGCCGAUACCUGAUUAGCUAGUUGGUGAGGUAAAGGCUCACCAAGGCAACGAUCAGUAGCUGGUCUGAGAGGACGAUCAGCCACACUGGGACUGAGACACGGCCCAGACUCCUACGGGAGGCAGCAGUGGGGAAUUUUGGACAAUGGGGGCAACCCUGAUCCAGCAAUGCCGCGUGAGUGAAGAAGGCCUUCGGGUUGUAAAGCUCUUUUGUCAGGGAAGAAACAGCAGCUCUAACACAGUUUGCGAAUGACGGUACCUGAAGAAUAGGCACCGGCUAACUACGUGCCAGCAGCAGCCGCAG
rnacentral:rRNA from 1 species